UACGUAGGGGGCAAGCGUUGUCCGGAAUUAUUGGGCGUAAAGAGCUCGUAGGCGGUCUGUUACGUCUGCUGUGAAAACCCGGGGCUUAACCCUGGGCUUGCAGUGGAUACGGGCAGACUAGAGGCAGGUAGGGGAGAAUGGAAUUCCCGGUGUAGCGGUGAAAUGCGCAGAUAUCAGGAAGAACACCCGUGGCGAAGGCGGCUCUCUGGGACGGUACUGACGCUGAGACGCGAAAGCGUGGGGAGCGAACAGG
rnacentral:rRNA from 1 species